rnacentral:rRNA from 1 species
GUGGGGAAUCUUAGACAAUGGGCGCAAGCCUGAUCUAGCCAUGCCGCGUGAGCGAUGAAGGCCUUAGGGUUGUAAAGCUCUUUCAGUGGGGAAGAUAAUGACUGUACCCACAGAAGAAGCCCCGGCUAACUCCGUGCCAGCAGCCGCGGUAAUACGGAGGGGGCUAGCGUUGUUCGGAAUUACUGGGCGUAAAGCGCACGUAGGCGGACUGGAAAGUCAGGGGUGAAAUCCCGGGGCUCAACCCCGGAACUGCCUUUGAAACUCCCAGUCUUGAGGUCGAGAGAGGUGAGUGGAAUUCCGAGUGUAGAGGUGAAAUUCGGAGAUAUUCGGAGGAACACCAGUGGCGAAGGCGGCUCACUGGCUCGAUACUGACGCUGAGGUGCGAAAGCGUGGGGAGCAAACAGGAUUAGAAACCCUAGUAGUCC